AUUGAACGCUGGCGGCAUGCUUUACACAUGCAAGUCGAACGGUAACAGGUUAAGCUGACGAGCGGCGAACGGGUGAGUAAUGCAUCGGAACGUGCCCGGUCGUGGGGGAUAACGCAGCGAAAGCUGCGCUAAUACCGCAUACGAUCUGAGGAUGAAAGCGGGGGACCGUAAGGCCUCGCGCGAUCGGAGCGGCCGAUGUCAGAUUAGGUAGUUGGUGGGGUAAAGGCCCACCAAGCCGACGAUCUGUAGCUGGUCUGAGAGGACGACCAGCCACACUGGGACUGAGACACGGCCCAGACUCCUACGGGAGGCAGCAGUGGGGAAUUUUGGACAAUGGGCGAAAGCCUGAUCCAGCAAUGCCGCGUGCAGGAAGAAGGCCUUCGGGUUGUAGACUGCUUUUGUACGGAGCGAAAAGGUCCUUUCUAAUACAAGGGGCUCUUGACGGCACCGUAAGAAUAAGCACCGGCUAACUACGUGCCAGCAGCCGCCGUAA
rnacentral:rRNA from 1 species